UCAACAGGGUCAAUAUAAAAGAGCAAUACUGGCCCCUUUCUGCUCUCUGGCUUCCUGUCUUGCCACGUGAUCUCUCUCAACCACAUGUACUCCUGACAUUGUGAUGCCAUCCACCAUGAGGUCUUCACUGGAAUGGCUGAGCGGAAGUUGACACCAUGCUGGGCCUCCAGAACUGUAAAAAUAUUAAGGCAACAUCAAGGUAAUCCGGUCUCUGUGAUUUUAAUUACAAGACUACGCUAAUUCUCAUAAGACCUGUAAGUGGAUCAUACAAGGUAGACAGUGACAAGGACCUUGAUGAUGCAGUGAUCCUGUGUGGGCUGGGAAGGUUUUUCUACCAAUGGUCUUCCCAGGAAGCUGCUUCCCAUCAGGGCUUGGCUUGCCUGACAUGGGGAUUCCAGGUCUGAGGGCCAGGAAGCGGAUGAAGCUCUCAAGAUCUUUCUCUACCAUCAUUUACGUUGCAACUUCAAGUCCAUGACUGAGUGGACCCUCAGGUCAACCAUCCUUCACUUUGCCCUUCCAACCCAGAGCUCUUUGUGAAAUGUCCAACACGUAGACUCUCGCUGUCUUGGCUCAGAAGCAGUUGCCAAAGUUCUCUAUGAGCCAAGCUGAGUCUAGACCAGACAUGGUCAGGGGCAAAAGAUCUCUUCCUAGACAGAAGGGAGAGAGAGAGCUGGACCCACCAGGGAAAUGAUCCCUUUUUUCUUCCCCUUCUCCCAGUCUCAGUCAGUGGCCAACAGCCAAGCACUAUUUCUUGCUCCUUUGACUUAACCAUCUAAUCAGUGGUGGGAGGAAAUGGCUUUAAUAUAAAAUAUUCACUGUGGAAGAACUGAGGUGUAAGAAAAGGAAAGGAAGGAUUCUCUCCCCUCAAUCAGAUUUCCAGCUCUGCAAGAGUUGUAUUUUCUUAGAACCCUUAGGAAACCUCCAGCUAAGCCACUCAGUAGCAUGACAGAUGGAAAGUAGCAUUUUCCUGGGUUAUUCAAAUGGAAAGACAUUGCCAGUACCUCUUUGCAAAAAGAGGUUAAAAAUCAUACUUUAAAUAUCUACCACAAUUGUUCUCAGAAAGAUGCCCCUUUGCAACAGGAUGCUGUGGAACUGGAAGGAGGAAUGAAUCUCAAAGGGUUACUUACUGUAUCAGGAAAUUAUUGCAAAUGUUAAAUGAGAAAACCUUUUUGAACAUAGAUACUUUUAUAGCAAACAAGAGGAAUAGACUAAAGAAGAAUGUAAUUAAAAUUUUACCUUACACAAUUGCAUUAGGGCCUCUUGAUUUCAACAUUACUAUUUCUACAAACCAAUUCUCAUUUCAUAAUUUGCUCUACAUACAUUAUGAAAAUUACAAUAAUAACUAUUUGAGUUUUUUU